rnacentral:rRNA from 1 species
CACGUAGGGGGCAAGCGUUGUCCGGAUUUAUUGGGCGUAAAGAGCUCGUAGGUGGUUCGAUAAGUCGGGUGUGAAACCUCCAGGCUCAACCUGGAGACGCCACCCGAUACUGUCGUGACUAGAGUCCAGUAGGGGAGCGUGGAAUUCCAGGUGUAGCGGUGAAAUGCGUAGAUAUCUGGAGGAACACCGGUGGCGAAGGCGGCUCUCUGGACCACAACUGACGCUGAGGCGCGAAAGCUAGGGGAGCAAACAGG